GUCCUUGUAGUUCAAGGGAUAGAAUAGAAGUUUCCUAAACUUUUGAUUCGGGUUCGAGUCCCGGCGAGGACA
rnacentral:tRNA from 1 species